rnacentral:rRNA from 1 species
CAGCCGCCGCGGGAAUACGGAGGGUGCAAGCGUUAUCCGGAUUUAUUGGGUUUAAAGGGUCCGUAGGCGGAUCUGUAAGUCAGUGGUGAAAUCUCACAGCUUAACUGUGAAACUGCCAUUGAUACUGCAGGUCUUGAGUAAAUUUGAAGUGGCUGGAAUAAGUAGUGUAGCGGUGAAAUGCAUAGAUAUUACUUAGAUCACCAAUUGCGAAGGCAGGUCACUAAGAUUCAACUGACGCUGAUGGACGAAAGCGUGGGGAGCGAACAGGAUUAGAUACCCCUGUAGUCCCUGUCUCUUAUAC